rnacentral:rRNA from 1 species
UACGUAGGGGGCUAGCGUUGUCCGGAUUUAUUGGGCGUAAAGAGCGUGUAGGCGGCCAGGUAGGUCUGCUGUGAAAACUCGAGGCUCAACCUCGAGACGUCGGCGGAAACCAUCUGGCUAGAGUCCGGAAGAGGAGAGUGGAAUUCCUGGUGUAGCGGUGAAAUGCGCAGAUAUCAGGAAGAACACCCGUGGCGAAGGCGCUCUGCUAGGCCGCAACUGACACUCAUGGACGAAAGCUAGGGGAGCGAAUGGG